rnacentral:rRNA from 1 species
UCGGGAAUAUUCGUAAUGGGCGAAAGCCUGAACUAGCAACACCGCGUGUGCGAAGAAGGCCUUCGGGUUGUAAAGCACUUUUUGAAAGGAUGAGGAAGGACGGUACUCUCAGAAUAAGUCUCGGCUAACUACGUGCCAGCAGCCGCGGUGACACGUAGGAGGCAAACGUUAUCCGGAUUUACUGGGCGUAAAGCGCGUGUAGGUGGUUUGGUAAGUAGAGCGUGAAAGCUCCUGGCUCAACUGGGAGAGGUCGUUCUAAACUGCCGGACUAGAGGAUGGUAGAGGGAGGUGGAAUUCCGGGUGUAGCGGUGGAAUGCGCAGAUAUCCGGAGGAACACCAGUGGCGAAAGCGGCCUCCUGGACCACUCCUGACACUCAGACGCGAAAGCUAGGGUAGCAAACG